UGCGUAGGCGGGGCAAUUAGUCAGUGGUGAAAUCCUGCGGCUUAACCGUAGAACUGCCAUUGAUACUGUUGCUCUUGAGUAUAGUUGAGGUGGGCGGAAUGUGUAAUGUAGCGGUGAAAUGCAUAGAUAUUACACAGAACACCAAUUGCGAAGGCAGCUCACUAAGCUAUAACUGACGCUGAGGCACGAAAGCGUGGGGAGCGAACAGGAUUAGAUACCCUGGUAGUCC
rnacentral:rRNA from 1 species